GCUUUCAUAUUAUACAAGCUUGUAUAAUAUCUA
rnacentral:sRNA from 1 species